rnacentral:rRNA from 1 species
GGGUGCUAGAAUGCAGUCGACGCGAAAGUCCCCUUCGGGGGACAAGUAGAGUGGCGCACGGGUGAGUAACACGUAGGUAAUCUACCUUUGGAUGGGGAAUAACAACCGGAAACGGUUGCUAAUACCGCAUAAUGCAGCGGCACCUAAUGGUGACAGUUGUUAAAGCGGGGGAUCGCAAGACCUCGCGUCUAAAGAGGAGCCUGCGGCGGAUUAGCUAGUUGGUAAGGUAAUGGCUUACCAAGGCUACGAUCCGUAACCGGCCUGAGAGGGCGGUCGGUCACACUGACACUGACAUACGGGUCAGACUCCUACGGGAGGCAGCAGUCGGGAAUUUUGGGCAAUGGGCGAAAGCCUGACCCAGCAACGCCGCGUGAAGGAUGAAAUCCCUCGGGAUGUAAACUUCGCAAGAACGGGAAGAAUAAGUAGGGGACAAUACCCCCUAUGAUGACGGUACCGUUUGUAAGCUCCGGCUAACUCCGUGCCAGCAGCCGCGGUAAUACGGGGGGAGCAAGCGUUGUUCGGAUUUACUGGGCGUAAAGGGCGCGUAGGCGGUCAGCACAAGUCAGUUGUGAAAUCUCCGAGCUUAACUCGGAAAGGUCAACUGAUACUGUGCGACUAGAGUGCGGAAGGGGCAACUGGAAUUCUCGGUGUAGCGGUGAAAUGCGUAGAUAUCGAGAGGAACACCUGCGGCGAAGGCGGGUUGCUGGGCCGACACUGACGCUGAGGCGCGAAAGCUAGGGGAGCGAACGGGAUUAGAUACCCCGGUAGUCCUAGCCUUAAACGAUGAAUGCUUGGUGUCUGGGGUUAUAUAGUCCCCGGGUGCCGUCGCUAACGCUUUAAGCAUUCCGCCUGGGGAGUACGGUCGCAAGACUGAAACUCAAAGGAAUUGACGGGGACCCGCACAAGCGGUGGAGCAUGUGGUUUAAUUCGACGCAACGCGAAGAACCUUACCUGGGCUAGA